rnacentral:rRNA from 1 species
UACGAAGGGUGCAAUCGUUGCUCGGAAUUAUUGGGCGUAAAGCGCACGUAGGCGGCUUUGCAAGUCGGAUGUGAAGUCCCUCGGCUUAACCAAGGAAGUGCAUCCGAAACUGCAGAGCUUGAGUACUUAAGAGGAUCGCGGAAUUCCCGGUGUAGAGGUGAAAUUCGUAGAUAUCGGGAGGAACACCAGUGGCGAAGGCGGCGAUCUGGGAAGAUACUGACGCUGAGGUGCGAAAGCGUGGGGAGCAAACAGG